rnacentral:rRNA from 1 species
CCUACGGGAGGCAGCAGUGAGGAAUAUUGGUCAAUGGACGCAAGUCUGAACCAGCCAUGCCGCGUGCAGGAAGACGGCUCUAUGAGUUGUAAACUGCUUUUGUACGAGGGUAAACGCAGAUACGCGUAUCUGUCUGCAAGUAUCGUACGAAUAAGGCUCGGCUAACUUCGUGCCGGCCGCCCCGGUAAUACGGAGGAUUCAAGCGUUAUCCGGAUUUAUUGGGUUUAAAGGGUGCGUAGGCGGUCGGAUAAGUUAGAUGUGAAAUCCCGAGGCUCAACUUCGGAAGUGCCUCUGAUACUGGUCGGCGAGAGAGUAGUUGCGGUAUGCGGAAUGUAUGGUGUAGCGGUGAAAUGCUUAGAUAUCACGAAGAACUCCGAUUGCGAAGGCAGGUCACUGGACUGCAACUGACACUGAGGCUCGAAAGUGUGGGUAUCAAACAGGAUUAGAUACCCGUGUAGGC